GACGAACGCUGGCGGCGUGCUUAACACAUGCAAGUCGAACGGAAAGGCCCUGCUUUUGUGGGGUGCUCGAGUGGCGAACGGGUGAGUAACACGUGAGUAACCUGCCCUUGACUUUGGGAUAACUUCAGGAAACUGGGGCUAAUACCGGAUAGGAGCUCCUGCUGCAUGGUGGGGGUUGGAAAGUUUCGGCGGUUGGGGAUGGACUCGCGGCUUAUCAGCUUGUUGGUGGGGUAGUGGCUUACCAAGGCUUUGACGGGUAGCCGGCCUGAGAGGGUGACCGGCCACAUUGGGACUAAGAGACGGAGCAGACUCGUACGGGAGGCAGCAGUGGGGAGUAUGGCGCAAUGGGCGGGAGCCUGAUGCAGCAACGCCGCGUGCGGGAUGACGGCCUUCGGGUUGUAAACCGCUUUCGCCUGUGACGAAGCGUGAGUGACGGUAAUGGGUAAAGAAGCACCGGCUAACUACGUG
rnacentral:rRNA from 1 species